AGAGUUUGAUCCUGGCUCAGAGCGAGCGCUGGCGGAAUGCUUAACACAUGCAAGUCGCACGGGGGCUUCGGCCUUAGUGGCGGACGGGUGAGUAACGCGUAGGAAUGUGUCCGAGGGUGGGGGAUAACGUUGGGAAACUGACGCUAAUACCGCAUAUCUCCUGAGGGAGAAAGCCGUGAGGUGCCCACGGAGCAGCCUGCGUCCGAUUAGCUAGUUGGUUAGGUAAAGGCUGACCAAGGCGACGAUCGGUAGCUGGUCUGAGAGGAUGAUCAGCCACACUGGAACUGAGACACGGUCCAGACUCCUACGGGAGGCAGCAGUGGGGAAUAUUGGACAAUGGGCGCAAGCCUGAUCCAGCAAUUCCGCGUGGGUGAAGAAGGUCUUCGGAUUGUAAAGCCCUUUCGUUGGGGACGAUGAUGACGGUACCCAAAGAAGAAGCCCCGGCUAACUUCGUGCCAGCAGCCGCGGUAAUACGAAGGGGGCUAGCGUUGCUCGGAAUGACUGGGCGUAAAGGGCGCGUAGGCGGCACAACUAGUCAGGCGUGAAAUUCCUGGG
rnacentral:rRNA from 1 species